rnacentral:rRNA from 1 species
UACGGGGGGAGCAAGCGUUGUUCGGAUUUACUGGGCGUAAAGGGCGCGUAGGCGGUCAGCACAAGUCAAUUGUGAAAUCUCCGAGCUUAACUCGGAAAGGUCAACUGAAACUGUGCGACUAGAGUGCGGAAGGGGCAACUGGAAUUCUUGGUGUUGCGGUGAAAUGCGUAGAUAUCAAGAGGAACACCUGCGGCGAAGGCGGGUUGCUGGGCCGACACUGACGCUGAAGCGCGAAAGCCAGGGGAGCGAACAGG